rnacentral:lncRNA from 13 species
UAUUCCACAUUAUCUUUUUUUUUUUUUUUUUUUUUUUGAGGUGGAGUCUUGCUCUGUCUCCAGGCUGGAGUGCAUUGGUGUAAUCUUGGUUCAGUGCAACCUCUGCCUCCUGGGUUCAAGCUAUUCUCCUGCCUCAGCCUCCCUAGUAGCUGGGACUACAGGGACUCUUCAUAAUUAUGGACCAUGCUGACAAUCUGCAUGACAACGGAAAUAUUCAAACAAAACUGACCCAGUCUCUCUUUCCUGCUACCACGUGAAAAAGGUGUUUG